rnacentral:rRNA from 1 species
GACGAACGCUGGCGGCGUGCCUAAUACAUGCAAGUCGAGCGGGGUUUUAAAAGCUUGCUUUUAAAACUUUAGCGGCGGACGGGUGAGUAACACGUGGGCAACCUGCCUGUAAGACUGGGAUAACACCGGGAAACCGGUGCUAAUACCGGAUAAUCCUUUUCAACUCAUGUUGGGAAGCUGAAAGACGGUUUCGGCUGUCACUUACAGAUGGUCCCGCGGCGCAUUAGCUAGUUGGUGAGGUAACGGCUCACCAAGGCAACGAUGCGUAGCCGACCUGAGAGGGUGAUCGGCCACACUGGGACUGAGACACGGCCCAGACUCCUACGGGAGGCAGCAGUAGGGAAUCUUCCGCAAUGGACGAAAGUCGGACGGAGCAACGCCGCGUGAGCGAAGAAGGCCUUCGGGUCGUAAAGCUCUGUUGUCAGGGAAGAACAAGUACCGGAGUAACUGCCGGUACCUUGACGGUACCUGACCAGAAAGCCACGGCUAACUACGUGCCAGCAGCCGCCGUAACAC